rnacentral:rRNA from 1 species
CCCUUAGAUGUUCUGGGCCGCACGCGCGCUACACUGAAGGGAUCAGCGUGUUUUCCCUUCCCGAGAGGGACGGGUAACCCGCUGAACCCCCUUCGUGGUAGGGAUCGGAGCUUGCAAUUGUUCUCCGUGAACCAGGAAUUCCCAGUAAGCGCAAGUCAUAAGCUUGCGUUGAUUACGCCCCUGCCCUUUGUACACACCGCCCGUCGCUACUACCGAUUGAACGUUUUAGUGAGGUAUUUGGACUGGGCCUUGGGAGGUUUCGGCCUCCCUUGUUGCUCGGAAAGACUCCCAAACUUGAGCGUUUAGAGGAAGUAAAAGUCAUAACA